AUUGAACGCUGGCGGCAGGCCUAACACAUGCAAGUCGAGCGGAUGACGGGAGCUUGCUCCUUGAUUCAGCGGCGGACGGGUGAGUAAUGCCUAGGAAUCUGCCUGGUAGUGGGGGACAACGUUUCGAAAGGAACGCUAAUACCGCAUACGUCCUACGGGAGAAAGCAGGGGACCUUCGGGCCUUGCGCUAUCAGAUGAGCCUAGGUCGGAUUAGCUAGUAGGUGAGGUAAUGGCUCACCUAGGCGACGAUCCGUAACUGGUCUGCGAGGAUGAUCAGUCACACGGGAACUGGGACACGGUCCAGACUCCUACGGGAGGCAGCAGUGGGGAAUAUUGGACAAUGGGCGAAAGCCUGAUCCAGCCAUGCCGCGUGUGUGAAGAAGGUCUCCGGAUUGUAAAGCACUUUAAGUUGGGAGGAAGGGCAGUAAGUUAAUACCUUGCUGUUUUGACGUUACCGACAGAAUAAGCACCGGCAAACUCUGUGCCAGCCGCCGCCGUAAAAC
rnacentral:rRNA from 1 species